GUGGGGAAUAUUGCACAAUGGGGGAAACCCUGAUGCAGCGACGCCGCGUGAGUGAAGAAGUAUUUCGGUAUGUAAAGCUCUAUCAGCAAGGAAGAUAAUGACGGUACUUGACUAAGAAGCCCCGGCUAACUACGUGCCAGCAGCCGCGGUAAUACGUAGGGGGCAAGCGUUAUCCGGAUUUACUGGGUGUAAAGGGAGCGUAGACGGUAUGGUAAGUCAGAUGUGAAAGCCCGGGGCUUAACCCCGGAACUGCAUUUGAAACUAUCAAACUAGAGUGUCGGAGAGGUAAGUGGAAUUCCUAGUGUAGCGGUGAAAUGCGUAGAUAUUAGGAGGAACACCAGUGGCGAAGGCGGCUUACUGGACGAUAACUGACGUUGAGGCUCGAAAGCGUGGGGAGCAAACAGGAUUAGAAACCCUAGUAGUCC
rnacentral:rRNA from 1 species